ensembl:lncRNA
GUUAGACAGACAGACCUAAAACUAUUGGCACCCCCAAAAGGUAGGUAGAUAGACAGAAUGCGACUCACCUGUCCAAGCCGGUCUCCGCCGCUGAAGUUCCUUUUCUCGUCCCCCUCCUCCUCCUCCUCCUCCUCCACCCCUGAUGGUGAUUUAUAAUAAUAAUUUUCCAAACAGAACCGGACCGCAUCAAUCAGGAAGAUUAAAUCUUUUUUUAUUAUUUAUUUUUUAUCACGCAACUGCACAAAUCCGCCUGAGUUCUCCACCGCAGAAAUGCGCACCGGAUCUCCCCCUCGCGACUUCUAAACUCGUAACGGAGACACGGCGAGAUGGGGAGAUGGAGAGAUGGAGAGAUGAAUUCCUUCUGCAUUAACAAACAGGAUACACAGUCAAAUAAAAAAAAAUUAACAACUGCGCGCUCCUUAAUCCAGAAUCCUUAAUCGAUCCUAAUCAGUGUGAGAAAAAAAUUAAGCUAUCCAGUGAUGCACGCACACCACACACACCGCUGUCUCGUCUCGUCUCGGGGUGUGUGUGUGUGUGUGUGUGUGUGUGUGUGUGUGUGAGAGAGAGAGAGAGAGAGAGAGAGAGAGAGAGAGAGAUUGAUUUAGGAGAAGCCAAAUCCAGAAAAACGGUCCGUGUGCAGCACGGGUCUACGGACCGGAUGUGCUUGAGCGAUUCUGCGGUAGCCUACAGAAGGAUAAACUCCGUGCACGCGGUGAGCACGCGGGAGAAACUGCGCAGAAACGCAUCCAAACACGCGCGUGCCGUCGCCCUCCGCUCUCCGCCCGUCAUCCCUCGCGCUCCAUCUGUCCGCAAUUCUCAUAUAUCCCCGUGCACGCGGACAUCAGGACGUCUCUACUCUUUUUUUUAUUAGUAGUAGUAGUAGUGGUAUUUAUUUAUUUAUUUAUUUAUUUAUUUAUUUAUUUAUUCUUCUUCUCUUCGAUAAGGGCGAUCAGUGCACGCACGCGCCAAGCUCAGCUCUUGAUCUGCCCGAGCACGGAUACCGGAGCCGAGCGUCCGCGCGCACGCACGCGCAUCUCUUGUCGUGCCCCGAAGUGAUGACGCACGUGCACGUGCGCG